UCUUCAGUUUGAGGAUCAAAGCAUAAAGGCAGGUAAUUUAGUGGGAAAGAUUAAAUUUAACCAUGUUUUCUUGGGUGUGUCUUCACAGCCUUCUACUCCAUCCCAGGAAAGACACAAUAUGCAGCCUUCACUUCUGCACCUUUCCAAGACGAAAUCCGAGAACUAGAAUGUGGUCGACCUCUUCGCCAGGACCGCAUUGUGGGUGGCUCUGAUGC